rnacentral:rRNA from 1 species
GACGAACGCUGGCGGCGUGCCUAACACAUGCAAGUCAACUUGACUGAAGGAGCAAUCUGACAGUAGAGUGGCGCAAGGGUGCGUAACGCGUAAGUAACUUGCCCAAGGUAAGGAAUAACGUCGAGAAAUCGGCGCUAAUACCUCAUAAUGCAGCGGAUCCGCAUGGAUAUGUUGUUAAAGGUUUACCGCCUUGGGAUAGGCUUGCGUCUGAUUAGUUAGUUGGUGUGGUAACGGCACACCAAGGCUACGAUCAGUAACUGGUCUGAGAGGAUGAUCAGUCGCACUGGAACUGAGACACGGUCCAGACUCCUACGGGAGGCAGCAGUGAGGAAUAUUGGGCAAUGCUCGAAAGAGUGACCCAGCAACGCCGCGUGGAGGAUGAAGGUAUUCUAUAUCGUAAACUCCUGUGAGAGCAGACGAAAGACAGAUUAUUAAUCUGGAUGACUGUAUGCUCAGAGGAAGCCCC